AUUGAACGCUGGCGGCAGGCCUAACACAUGCAAGUCGAACGGUAACAGGAAACAGCUUGCUGUUUCGCUGACGAGUGGCGGACGGGUGAGUAAUGUCUGGGAAACUGCCUGAUGGAGGGGGAUAACUACUGGAAACGGUAGCUAAUACCGCAUAACGUCGCAAGACCAAAGAGGGGGACCCUCGGGCCUCUUGCCAUCGGAUGUGCCCAGAUGGGAUUAGCUUGUUGGUGGGGUAACGGCUCACCAAGGCGACGAUCCCUAGCUGGUCUGAGAGGAUGACCAGCCACACUGGAACUGAGACACGGUCCAGACUCCUACGGGAGGCAGCAGUGGGGAAUAUUGCACAAUGGGCGCAAGCCUGAUGCAGCCAUACCGCGUGUAUGAAGAAGGCCUUCGGGUUGUAAAGUACUUUCAGCGGGGAGGAAGGGAGUAAAGUUAAUACCUUUGCUCAUUGACGUUACCCGCAGAAGAAGCACCGGCUAACUCCGUG
rnacentral:rRNA from 1 species